UCAAAGCGCCAGGCUUCCCAGCCCAGCUUGAGGUCUGCCUCGCUGCCUCAAAGCAAAAUGAAACCCACGCAGAGGACUUGACCACCUGGAUUAGACUAAAUGACCUGCUUAGAGAAUGGUCUUUCUCGAUUAGCUAAAUCCACUGUAUACUUCCCCGCCCAAGUCCCAGGAACAUUAACAAACAGGCCUUGGGGAGGGGAUAGCCCUACAAUGAGAAGGAGGGGGAAACUGAAACUGGCCCCUCCCCUACCUUCACCCCUGCCCUGCUUUUAGUCUGUAACCCAACCAGGCUUCCACCUGAAGUGGCGUCCUAGCCUGCCUUGAAGAAGAUGGGCAGCAAGACUACAAAAUCGUAUUCAGUGAGCUGUGAACUCGGGUCAUCCUUGGUGACGCCGGAGGAGAGAUGGAGAACGAAGAGCAGGUGCCCAUAUAUUGGGCACUGGCCAGUCUCGGGCCCCAGGUGUCUUCACAGAAUGGUACUCAGCUAAAGAGCGCCCUACCAUGGAAACUGAACGUGCCCCGGGAAGUCACACAGAUUCAAGCUCAAAUUCCCGUGUGAAUUCAGGCAUGACUUAUUCAACUCAUCCAAGCUUUGAUUUCUUCCUCUGGCUGUAGGAGAAAAGAGCUUCCUUGUGAGACUGUGGAAACGACUGGGUUAAGUUUAAAUAAAGUACAUCACACCGGAGCAGCGGCUUGAAAGCCUGUUUGGGGUGACUGGAAGGACGUGUGCUGUUUGCACAAGGAAAUCAAUGAUUCCGUUCUCCUGCUUAAUCGGGUGUUGGACAUUUGCCAAUCUUCCUUUUUCUUUCCCCCAAUGAACCAAGAAAUUAGCUCCCCUGGAAAGAGGGGCAGCCCCUAAGCACUACAUGUGUUCAGAAUAGAAUCGAUGUACAAACAUCAA